rnacentral:rRNA from 1 species
AUUGAACGCUGGCGGCAGGCCUAACACAUGCAAGUCGAACGAGUGGCGGACGGGUGAGUAAUGUAUGGGAAACUGCCUGAUGGAGGGGGAUAACUACUGGAAACGGUAGCUAAUACCGCAUACCCUCAGAUGAACCCAGAUGGGAUUAGCUUGUUGGUGGGGUAACGGCUCACCAAGGCGACGAUCCCUAGCUGGUCUGAGAGGAUGACCAGCCACACUGGAACUGAGACACGGCCCAGACUCCUACGGGAGGCAGCAGUGGGGAAUAUUGCACAAUGGGCGCAAGCCUGAUGCAGCCAUGCCGCGUGUAUGAAGAAGGCCUUCGGGUUGUAAAGUACUUUCAGUAGGGAGGCGUUACCGACAGAAGAAGCACCGGCUAACUCCGUGCCAGCAGCCGCGGUAAUUC